CCUACGGGUGGCAGCAGUGAGGAAUAUUGGUCAAUGGGCGGAAGCCUGAACCAGCCAAGUCGCGUGAGGGAAUAAGGCCCUACGGGUCGUAAACCUCUUUUGCCGGGGAGCAAGGGCCGGGACGCGUCCCGGCCCGGAGAGUACCCGGAGAAAAAGCAUCGGCUAACUCCGUGCCAGCAGCCGCGGUAAUACGGAGGAUGCGAGCGUUAUCCGGAAUGACUGGGCGGAAAGGGUGCGUAGGUGGUUUGAUAAGUUGGUAGCGUAACUCCGAGGCUCAACCUCGGCACUGCUACCAAAACUGUCGGACUUGAGUGCAGGAGAGGCAACUGGAAUUCCUAGUGUAGCGGUGGAAUGCGUAGAUAUUAGGAGGAACACCAGUGGCGAAGGCGAGUUGCUGGACUGUAACUGACACUGAGGCACGAAAGCGUGGGGAGCAAACAGGAUUAGAUACCCUAGUAGUC
rnacentral:rRNA from 1 species